rfam:Myotis brandtii contig241766, whole genome shotgun sequence.
GCCUGUGUGGCUAAAAGGUUAGAGCGUCGGCCCAUGGACUGAAGGGUGGCAGGUUCAAUUCCAGUCAAGGGCA